UAAUACAGUAGAAGCAAGAUAGGUGUGAGCUUCCUCUCAUCCCUGUGCUACUGCUUCCUCUUCAAAGUCUCAUUUAGAGCAUUUCAAAGCCUUUGAAGCCUUUUUGGUUCAACUGAAGCAUUGCUGAGUGAGUCCCUGAAACUCAUUUGCUAAAAAGCAUCAUAUAUUAGCAUACAUUUGACAGUAGAAGAAGGCAGUUUUGAGUCUAUGACAGGUAACAGUAGUGCUUGGUUUGGUUUGAUUUUUUAGAAUAUUUUGAAAAAUCACUGCAAAAACAUGAAGUGUGGCACAAUCAUUUUUCCCUUUACUUUGUACCUCCAGGCAAGUUUCAUCUAUAAAAUGAUAUUGUACUAUGCAUAGGAUACUGGGAAAGGCAUCUCUGUAUGCCAUUUAUGUUUUAUCCAAGAAAAUCCCUUCUGUGAUGGUUGGCCCUGGGGAUGAAAGAGACAGGAACAUGGAGCUUCAGACCCAAAUGUAUACAAGAAAGAGAAUUCGAAGUACCAUAGAUGGAUAUCAUCGAAAUGGACAAGAUGGUUUCUUUCCUUCUUCAACAAAAACAACUUUUUCUAUUAAAACCUGGAGAGUGACAAAGAGACUGGGGAAUCUAAGAGAUUAAGUGACUUGCCAAAGAUGCCAAAGGUGGAAUUUGAACUCAGGCUUUCCUGACUCAGAAUCCACAACUCUGUCCACAAUGCCAUACUGCUCCUCCAAUAAUAACAGAUGAAAGAACUGAGGAGGAGAGAUUCACAAAGCUGGUAAGUGUCUCUGGCAAGAUUUGAACUCAGGUCUUCCUGACUCCAAGUCCAGUACUCUAUAUAGCAUGUUUCCUAGUUGCUCUAGACAACAGUGAAUUACUAUAGCAUCUUGAGUGAAAAUGGGACAAGUUUAAGUGAUAUUUUCACAAUUAUAACCUAGAAUGGAAGAGGAGAAAGAGUCAAGGUAAGACACAUUUAGGAGGACGUUUCAGUAACUCAGGCAUGGCUCACAAGUUAUCAGGGAGUCGUUCAUUGUUCUCAUUCAGUAUGUAUCUAGGCAAUGCCUUUGACAGGGUACUUGACAAGUCAUCAUAGAAUCACCACUUGAAGACUUCCAGGGAAGGGGAAUGCACUACCUCCCCACAUAAUCCAUUUCAUGUUCAGGCAGCUUUAAGUGCUCAGAGGUUUUUCCUUUCAUCUGUUACUGCAAUCUUUACUCCUUUCUCUUAAGCAGAACAAAUCUAAUUCUUCCAAAUCUUUAAAUACUCAGACAGGUAUCACGUUCCCACCUAAGUCUUCACUCUUCUAGGAUAUACAUCCUUAGUUCCUUCAAUUGAGCCUCAAGUCCUUGCACAGUCCAGGUUCCCAGAUUGAAGUGAUGAGAAAUAAAAUUAGAGAGGCUGAAGUGGAAAAGAAGAAAUAGAUCUGAGAGACUGUGAAGGAAGAUUUGGUAGAAAUAGAUACCUCCCUGGAUAGAGGACAUGAACAACAAAAAAGUCAAAGAUAUUCAAAGUUUCAAAUAGAGGAGGCAAAGAAAAUAGUGAUGUGAGGAACAGAAAAGGUAAAAAGUAAAGCUACAAAGAAAGAAAGGUUUUAUAUCAUUUUAAGUUGCCCCUAUUUUUUUUUUUGUAAAAACCCUUACCUUCAGUCUCAGAAUUGAUACUAAAUAUCAGUUCUAAGGCAGAAGAACCAUAAGGGCUAGGCAACUGGGAUUAAGGGACUUGUCUAGGGUCACAGAGCUAAGAAGUGUCUGAGUCUAGAUUUGAAGCCAGGAUCAUUUAGCCAUGAUAUCUUUGUGAACAAAACAAACAAGUGUGGGCUGAAUGACAACACCUUAUGAUCGUUUUGGAACUGGUUGCAUGACUAGAUACAAACAAUUGGGAUUGAUGAAUUGAUAUCAGCUUGAUCAAAGGUGGACUCCGGAGCUCUGUCCUUAACUUUAUUCGGAGCAUUUUUAUAAAGAACUAGGAGGAAGGCAUACAUAGCACACUUAUCAAGUUUCCAUAGGACAAACAACUAGGAGGGAUAGUUAAUACAUUGGAUGAUAGGUGUCAGGAUCCAAACGCUUUUCAACAGACUAGAAUAAUGGCUCAAAUCUAAUUAUAUGAAAUUUUAUAAGAAUAAAUGUAAAGUUCUAUACUAAGACUAAAACAUCACCUUGAGAAGACUGGACAUGGAACAAAGCUGAAUUCAUAAAAGCAAUGCUUCCAUGGCAGGAUAAAUUAUAGUAGCUAGAGUCCUCUACCAUGAUCACGCAUCAAAAAUAUGACUUUCAGUUCUGCAUUUCACACCUUAGAUAUGGAGAAGCUGUACUGCAGCCAGAGGAAUAUGAUUGAGCUGGGGGAAGAGGUAGAAAACUGUUCCAAAACAGCUAGAAAAAACUAGGGUCGCUUCUCACCUAAUCUUCCCAAUUGGCAAGUGAGGAAAUCUAUUCACUAAGAGUUUAAGAGAUUUACCAAAGGCCACACAGAAUGGUAAAACCAGAGUCAGAAACCACAUUUUUUUAAUCCUUCCCUUCCCUCUUGGAAUUGAUACUACAGUUUCAAGGAGAAGUAUGGUAAGGGUUAGACAAUUGGAGGUAAGUGAUUUGCCCAGGGUCACACAGCUAAGAAGCAACUGAGGCUAGAUUUUGAACUCAGGUCCUCUACUGAGCUUAAUAGUUGCCCCUAACCCACAUCUUCUACUACCAAGUCUUUCCACACAAAACAAAUUUAUUCUGAGACUAAAAGAAAAGCCUUGAUUCCCAGACCAUCUAGGUUCGUUCUAAAUGAAAAUAAAUUUUCAGCAGAAAGAUGGUCCAAAAAGAAUGUCGUGUGAGUUGUACUCCUAAAACUGUAAGAAAAUCUCUGAGCAGGGGGCAGCUGGGUGGCUCAGUGGAUUGAGAGUUAGGCCCAAAGAGGGGAGGUCCUAGGUUCAAAUCUGGCCUUGGACACUUCCUAGCUGUGUGACUCUGGGCAAGUCACUUGACCCCCAUUGCCUAGCCCUUACCACUCUUCUGCCUUGGAGCCAAUACACAGUCUUGACUCCAAGAUGGAAGGUAAGGGUCUAAGAAAAGAGAAAGAAAAAAAAAAAGAAAAUCUCUGAGCUUUAGUAAAUAUUUCUCAUUAUAAAAAUAAAAAAGAGAUCAAUGAAUUAGUUGUAUUCAAUGAACCAACUAAAGCAGAGAACAAACCCUGAGAGUGGUCUAGUCUUUAGGCAGAUUGAACCAAAAGGAAUUAAUUAUCUAAUCUCUUAUUUUUACAUCAGGGAAAUGAGGGAAAGAGGAGAAAGAAGAAAUUCUUAGUGAAUUUCUCCCAGAAAUACCAGACUGACCUAACUGAUGACUUGAAAAUCAGGUCCAGGGAGGCCCUUUGCUGUGAAUAGCCAUUAAUGUUCCAUGCCCAGCAUGCUUCCUAGUUGUUGCCCGGAAUAAAUACAUAGCCUCAAGAUUUAGCCUGACUGUUCCUCCAAGGAAUCCUGACCCUAAGACUGGCCGUGAUUGAGUGGAACAGCAGGGCCACAUUGCUGCCAUGUGUCAAAGGGAAAAUGUCUGGGGCAAUUAAGCACAUCUUCACAGCAAUCUAAACCAUGCCUUAAAAUCCAGAGCAGUCCCACCCCUUGCCUAACCAUGGCAUAGAGAAGGUUCAAGAAUUUCCCUUUCAGCUCCAUCCUAUGACUCUUAAAGCCUAAUGAAACAGGUGCACAAGGGGAAACCCCCAAAGUAUCAUCACCCUGCAAAAGGCCCGUGACCCCAAUUAAAUUAUAAUAGGGAGCCCAACUGCAUCUUUUAGCUAAGGUGGCCACUCAUCCAGCUUUGACCCAAAUGUCUCAGGCAUUCAGGUCUCUGGGCAACUGAGUAACCUUGUGAAAGCCAAGAAUGUGGUGACAGCAGCCACCCCCUCCCAGUCCACUAUUAUCACAUGCCACGAUCGCAUUCCCAGAUGCCCCGUACUUAGCUGGGGACACAAUCUAGGAUAAUAUUCACUGCUGCCUUCUUGUUUCUCAGACGGUAUUCCUCAGCUUUCUAAUUUGUCCAGAAGCACCUCCAGAUAAGCCAGGGUCAAAAGAACAGGACUUGAAAAUGUGACCCUCCCUUCAGCAAGCUUUUAGUAUCUUCUUGUUUUGGACCCAGCCUGCCAAAUCAAGACAGACCACCACCAAAACAAGCUGCCCUGUUUCUCUAGAGGAACCCAAUGCCUGGCAUUUGUACUUUUUGAAAAGUAAAGAAUUUUGAGUUUUGACAAUUUAAGUGACAAUUUCUAUGAAUACCGAUGGAAAGAAAAUUGUAUUGUAAAGAUUAAAAUUUAGGGAAUAUGGGGAGACUGAGGCAUCUGAGGCAGGUAGAAAUUAGUUUCUCUCUGCAAGAAGUAUUAUAUUUUUUAGAGGUUUAUUAAAGGUUAAAGAUUAAAGAAUAUACAAGUAAGAAACAUGUGCCUAGGCCAGAGGCCUAGACAAAAUAACCUCACAUCACGCAAGAGACCACCUGCUCCAAAACGGAAGUCCAAAAAGAGCCAAGAGAGCCCCCUCAAAAGCCUUUCAAUCAGCUUAAAUACCUUCUCCAUCUCGGCCCAGGUGAGAUUACAAGGCAUUCUGGGGAAGUGGAGCAAAGGCUCAUGGGGAUUGUAGUCCUGUAUUCCAGUCUAUUUUUUACAGUAUGAACACGGCUAAAACAGUUAGGUGGCAUAAUAGAUGGAACACGAAUAUGGAGUCAGGAAGACCUGAAUUCAAAUCCAGACUCAGAUACUUAAAGCUAGGCAACCUUGAAUGAAUCCUUUCAUAUCUGUUUGCUUCGGUUUCAAAUUAUAAAGUGCUUAGCACAGUGUCUGUCAUAUAGGAGAUUUAGAUAAAUAUUAGUUAUUAUUGUUCAUCUAGAAACACCACCUGUCUGCUUGACAUAUCCAUUUGGUAGUCUCACAGGCAUCAAAAUUAGUACUUAUGGUUUGCCCCCAAAAUACCACCAUUCUUCCUAAAUGGCCUAUUUCUGUGGAGAGGACCUCCAUCUUUCCAGACACCCAGGUUGACAACUUAGAAGUCAUUUUUAAUUUCUAACUCUCUUUCCCACUUUCUAGAUUCCCCAUAUACAAUCAGUUGCCAAGUCUUGUCGAUCAGACAUUUCCGUAUCAUCUACAUUUGUUCCUUUCUCCCUACUCACUUGGCUACUUCCUUAGUUUAGACCCUCAUCACCAACCCCCUCAGACUACAGGAGAAGCUGCCUAAUUGUUCUCUCUUUUCCUCUAAACUAUCCCUCUUCCAACCCACUGAGUUCCCUAACAGAUACAACUAAAACACAGAUCUGAUCAAAACACUUCCCUGUUCAAAGGCUUCAGUGGCUCCCUAGACCCUCUAAGAUAAUAUGUGAACUCCCUUGUUCUACUUUUAAAGCCUGUCACAGUCUGGCUCCAGGCUAUCUUUUGGGGUAGAUCAUCUAUUAUUUCCUCCCUAGAAUGUUCUCUCCCCUCACCUUUAACUCUCAAAUACCUUAAUCCCAUUUAAGGCUGAGGCUUACUACAUGAGGGUUUUUGCAAGAGUGUACUAGAACCAGCUUACAGAGUCAGCUCUUGAAAGCUGAUUGUUAAAUUUUCACUGUGAACAUUUAUACCUCAGAAAUUAGC